GGAUAUAGCUCAGUUGGUAGAGUGCUUGCUUUGCAAGCACAAGGCCCUGAGUUCGACACCCAGCACCA
rnacentral:tRNA from 1 species